rnacentral:ncRNA from 1 species
GGGAAAACGUGGAUAAGGACAGUCCUUGAGAUAUCCUCUCAAGCGAGCGGGAAAUGGUGCAAGCCCGCGAGGUAAGACAAGGAAAUCACCUUAGAGUGAGAAGCUGAACGGUUAGAGUAAGCUUCUCCGGAUCACCUCCGUUAUAGGGUUCCGAGUGGCUCAAUUGAGCAACAAGGGUGGCACCGCGAGAAUAUCCCGUCCCUUUU